AGCGGAUACAAAGAUGGGCCAUGAGAAAAGCUGGUAGGCUAAAGGGGAAGCAUUUCUCUCUUCCCUACAGAACACAGACGACAAUGACUGUGGCAUAAAGCAUUCUCCUAUCUUCUUCCACCUGCAGCAGGCAAAUUGGCAGAUGGAAAGAGGUGAUCUUCUGGAAGCAGAAUGUUAUGGAGUAAUAACAAGGUAAGCUCACUUGCUGAGUGGGGUUAUAGCUUUCAGGUGGCUCGUCAUACCCAUGGUCAGAAGCUUCCUGGUGUCUAGUGAUGGACCUAGUGGAGCUCGUAUUUGGAAGUCGGCAGAUGCUGUAAGGCUGAAGCAGGCUGAUCGUUUUCAUCUUUUGAAAUUAGCCAACAGAAGCUGGUGGAUUUUUGUAAGAUGAAGCUGGAACAUGAAUGUGAAUGAAUGGAGAGAGAAUAAUGAGUGAAUGUGUCUGUUAGGAGCCUGAAGGGCCCCGCCCUACUUCUUUCCACCUGGCUUGGGGCGGGGCCUGACAGGCUCCAUAAAGGACUGCUGCUGCCACUGCUGCUGGGUAGAGAUGGCUCCAUUUUUGUUUUUGAAUUGCUUUUAUUUUUUUAUCUAUGUCAUUUUAAAUUGUGAUUGAUAUUAAUGCUGUAUUCUUAGUUUUAGAUUUUACGAUUUAUGUGGAAAUGGUUUUCCAUUUGGUUGUGUACUUUUUGAUGUGUUUUAUUUAUUGCUUAUGACUUUUUUAUGUUGGUGAUUAUGUAAAUCUUGUCAUGUUUUAUGCUGCCUUGAGCAUUGUUUCAACUAUGGAAAGGUGGCAUACAAAUAAAAUGAUGAAUGGAUGAAUGAAUGAAUGUUUUUCAUGGAUGUCUGCUGCGUGUGGGUGGAUGGGUAGAAGGUUUCUAAUGCGGUCAGUGCAAAUGCUGUGUGCAUGCAUGUGAAUGUGCUGUAUGAAAGCACAUGUGCUGUAUGUGCUGUGGAUAUGUAUAUGAACAGAUGAAAGCCAUGGGAGCUGGCAGGAUGAAGCUAGCUGAUAGAGUCAUGAGACAGAAGCUAGUGGAGGUGCCUGGGUGAUGCUGUUGGAUGGUAGCCAAUUCCACUCAUUGUCCCUGAGGUUUCUUUCCUGCAACAUGCCCUCAGUACCCUGAGGGUACAUUCUAUCAUAUGUGGUGGACCUGUAAAAGGAUCAAAAGAAUAUUGGGAAAGAAUUCAUAAUGAAUUGAAAAAAAAUGUUUAAAAGUACUUUUCCAAAAAACACACAAAAAACCAGAGUCCUUUUUGUUAGGGAUAAUUCAGACAGAAAUUCCCACGUGUCAAAAAAGGUUAUUUAUGUAUGCCACUACUGCGGCCUGUGUUUUGUUAGCCCCAAAAUGGAAAACGAGCGAGGUCCCAACUAAAAAAGAAUGGCAACUUAAACUGAUAAAAUAUGUGCAGCUUGCGGGCCUAACAAAUAGAAUAAGAGAACAAGAAGCACAUAUUUUUUAAAAAGAUUGGAAAAUGUUUGUUGAUUAUAUGGGGGAAACUGUGUACACUUGAAAAUGUUGGCAACAUUAAGAUAAAUUCAACAGCGUAAAUAAGUUUUGGUGGAUGUAAUAAUGGAAUACCAACGGGUUUAGUUUAUGUUAAAUUUGCAGGGAUUUAUGUUAUGCAAAAUAAACCAUGGAAAGAGAAGAAGGGAAGUCAUUGAUAUUUUAAGGUUGUUUAAAUGAAUAUUCUAAAAUAAAAGAAACAGCAAAUUUAAUAAAAAAUAUUGAAAAAACAACAAUAUGAAUGUUUGAAGGCAGCAAGGUAUUCUCAAUAAUAAGACCACACUGGUCAAUUACGAAGAGGAAUGCAGGGCUGUUUGAAGAUUGCAAGGUUUUCUCAAGACCCCACCCCUAGUGAAAGCAAAGAAGAGAACUGCAAGGUUUAAUUGCAAGCCAGCUUAUAUUUCUAAAUAUAUAUCUAAAUAUUUCAUAUUAUAUUUCUAAAUAUUUUGCUUUUAUGGUGUUGUCCAUCCCUGUUGUCAGUACACUCGUGGGGUAGGCUGAUGUGGUGUUUGCCCUUCUAUGUGUGUGACAUCAUACUGGGUUCAUAGGGAAAGGGUUAACUAAUUGUAAAAUGACUAACCAAUGGGAACCCAGGGGGAGAGUUAGAGUUAAGAUGGAGAAGACAGUCUGGAGUUAGACGAUAGAUAAGAUAAGAUAAGUCUGUGGUUUGGGCUAGUCUGGUGAGAGAGAGUGAGAGAAUUUGUUAAGAGGAGUCAGUCAAACAGUUGAGAUAAUCAGUCAGAAGGUAUUAGGAAGGUAUAGGCCGGUAAAGAAACUGAAGUUAAGAUACUGACAGGAAUAUUAUCGGAGAAACCAUAAACUUGUUAAUGUCUGUAAAAUAAACUUGGGUUUUUUGGUUCACUUUUAACAACUGCCUGGACUCCAUGUUUUACCAGAGAGUAACUGGUUGGUGGCAGCAAGGAAGUGAGCACAGUGGUGGCACAGGGAUCAAUAGACUGUUAAACGUCCAGGGACCCUGUGUGAUCACCACAGCUAUAUAUAUAUUUCAUUAUAAAUAAAUCAUUGUGAAGUGUUCGCACAAUUUUCUUAUUGAGAGGGUGGUAGUCCUAUGGUAUUCUGAAAAUUGCAUUGAAAUAGGCUCAGGGCAAAGAUUAAGGCUCCUUCAUUGACUAUUGUGAUUAGGAAGAACAAUCAGGAAAGGGUAUGAAAGUCCACUCACAGAAAGAUCCAUAGACACGAAUGGCAUUAAAUAACUAAUAAUCAAAAAAGCUGGGAAAUGGCUUUUUCAUCCUUUAAAUUUUAUGACCCAAACUGGCAUCGGCUGGGUAUGAGAGCCUUUGAGAGUAUAAGCGGAAAUUAGCAAUAGCUGUUUUGAACUCCAGAGCUUUCUGCUCCUGAAAGGUUAAUAGAGAGCCCAUCUUCUUAAAAGUAAGAAAGAAAGAAUAAUUCCUUUGCUUUUUAAAAAAUGGUUAUUGAGUUACAGAACAAGCCAGUAGGAAUUUAACCAUCAACUUCCAUCAUCCUGUAAACCCUUCAGCUGAAGAAAUCUUCAUUUACUUAGGCUGCAAUCCUAACCCCACUUACCUAAGAGUAAGACCCAUUAAAUUCAAUAGGACUUACUUUGAAAAAGAUAUGGUUAGGAUAGCACUGUUAGACUGUCCACUUACAACCAUUUCCCAGGGUGUAAGUUCUUCUGAAGUCAACAGGGCUUACUUCUGAGUAGACGUAUGUGGAAUUGUGGUAUUUCUUACUAUCAUGCAUAGCUGCUGCAGAGAUAAUAAGAACAUUGGAAGAGUCUGCGGGAUCAGGCCUUAUCUAGUCCAACAUCUUGUUCUCAUAGUGGGCAAACAGAUGUUCAUGGAAAACCUGCUUUUCUUCUUUGGUGAUCACUCAUAGCCGAGUAAGAUUGUCUUCCAUAAACACGGUUUUUACAGUGAGUCCAUAAGUGACUGUGGAGGCCAAUUUUGGAUCCGCAUGUCCUUCCACAGUGGGGACAUUUGUUUCCGGGCGGGAGCUGAUCACGGUGUGGAUUUGCCUAGCGUGCCUUCCUCUUAGCACGUUUCUCCCUUGUGCCCUGAGUUCCAGUGUCUUCAAAGCCCAUGACACCUUUGGUAAAGGCUGUUCUCCAAUUGGAGCACUCGCAGGCAAGUGUUUCCCAAUUGUUGUUGUUUAUACUACUUUUUUAUUAGAUUUGCCUUGAGACAGUCUUUAAACCUCUUUUGUUGACCACCAGCAUUACGCUUUCCAUUUUUAAGUUCAGAAUAGAAUAGUUGCUUUGGAAGAUGAUAAUCAGGCAUCCAAACAACAUGACCAGUCCAACGAAGUAGAUGUUGAAGAAACAUUGCUUUAACACUGGUGAUCUUUGCUUCUUCCAGUACACUGGUAUUAGUUCGCCUGUCUUCCCAAGUGAUGUAUAAAAAAUUUCGGAGACAAGUCUGCUUGUCUCCCCACUUGUGACUACCAGAAACUGGCAUGCAGAGGCAUGUGACUUCCAACAGUAGAGGCAAAGCGUAGCCAUUGUGGUUAGUAGCUACUGGUAGCCUUCAUGAAUUUGUCUAAUCUAUUAUCCUCUUUUAAAGCUGUCCAAAUGGUUGGUCAUCAUUAUCUCUUGCAAGAGGCUGUGAAAGAAACCUGUGAAAGCAAGUCAGCUUCCCAGCAAGAAUAUCCAAAAUUGUGGAUUUGUAGACAGCUCCCAUCUUUGUAACUUUGCCAUUCCCAACCCACUUUUGUCCCUUUUCUCCACUUUAAGAACAACAGACAUGACACCAUUUCACUGUAAAAUAUUGAUAGCAUGCUAAACUAUGAACUACAGCUGUUUCAUCCCCUUGCCACUUAAAUUCUUGUUACAAAUCAUGUUCAAAGUGACAAAGGUCACACUCGAUGCAAAUCUGCAGUGCUCAAUUCACAGUUCCACUUGGCAAUUGUUUGAAUAUGCAAUAUUCUCACCAAAGUGAAAUUUGCAUGAAUAUUGUUAUUUGGCUCCACUUUGAUAGGAACAGCUUCUGAAAGCAUUUUCUAGGAGGCGAUUUGCUGCAUAAAAAAAAUAAACUUUGUGCGAAAAGUUGAGGCAGAACAAGAAAAUGAACAUGGUGGCUGCCUUAGACCUUCUAAAAGCUCCUGUCCCUUUUCUAUUACAUCGUUCAGAAAAGCACUUCACUUUGCAUUGCUACUAGUGCUAACACAAAUCAACCUUUUCUUUAGAGCCAGGGUGGGAAAACACUGAUAAGGACAAUACAGUGGUACCUCGGGUUACAUACGCUUCAGGUUACAGACUCCGCUAACACAGAAAUAGUACCUCGGGUUAAGAACUUUGCUUCAGGGUGAGAACAGAAAUCGUGCUCUGCCAAAGCACAGCAGCAGGAGACCCCAUUAGCUAAAGUGGUGCUUCAGGUUAAGAACAGUUUCAGGUUAAGAACGGACCUCAGGAACGAAUUAAGUACGUAACCAGAGGUACCACUGUAGUGUUGAACCACCUGCUUAUUUUAACACAGAGGUCAAAAAGUAUGUGUACCGGAACAAAACAGCUGUUAAAUGUUAAUUUUAAUCAACAAGAAAGCAUUUUUAAGGUUUUCGCCUUUUUAGCUAAAGACAAAACUGCUUCAGGAUCCAAAGCUAAGUCAAUAAAACACAAAUUAUGAAUCAUAGCAGAACACACUGAAAAUGUAACUUCUUGAUCUCAGCUUGAAAGCAAUAUUUAUAAUAAAAAUAUUGCGCUAAUAUAUUCUGGGCUUUUCACAUAGGGUAGUUCUAAAACCUGUUCUCAUUUGAACCCCAGAAGUACAAAAGCAACAUGCAGCUGCUUCUGAUCUAUGGAAAUGUUGAGUUUUAAAUAUGUACUAUUGCAUUAACAUCCUUCUCCCACCACCUCAGCUGAUCCAUAUUUACAAGCAGAUUUUACUUUAUUUUCUCUCUCACUAUGUAGCAAAGAAUGUUCUUAAACACAUGCAGGGGAGAAACUGUAUUUACACUGACACAGAAAUCAUUCCAGCAAUUUUUUGUUAAAAAAGUAUAAAAGCUAAUAAUAGGUUUGAUAAUGAAUGCACAUUUCCCUGCUUUAAAUAGCAGCAGCUUCUUUAUACUUAUAAUAAUAUUGACAAUAGUGUUGAACCACCUGCUUAUUUUAACACAGAGGUCAAAAAGUAUGUGUACUGGAACACAACAGCUGUUAAAUGUUAAUUUUAAUCAACAAGAAAUCAUUUUUAAGGUUUUCGCCUUUUUAGCUAAAGACAAAACUGCUCCAGGGUCCAAAGCUAAGUCAAUAAAACAAAUUAUGAAUCAUAGCAGAACACACUGAAAAAGUAACUUCUUGAUCUCAGCUUGAAAGCAAUAUUUAUAAUAAAAAAACCUGUGCUAAUGUUGUUAUCAAUGCCACCCUUUGCUCUAGCUGAUUAGACAUAAUUGCAUUACUUUCCAUUUUAUAGCAAACUACAGAGGUAACACAUUGGAUUAAAAUUAUAAAUGAUCCAUUUUACAAAAAAUAAUGUGCCACUUUAUAAUGUGCAUGGUAAGUUGAUAUUAAAGAAUUAUUUAAUGGUUUGUUUAUUGUGGGUUUCUAGACAGGAGACGGCCAUCAAACUUUAAUUUUGUGUGAGUUACCAGAAUAAAUUAGCUAAUAUCCUGCAAAUUGCAUCAUCUUUCAUAAAACCCUUUGCCUGAUGUUGUUCAGGGAAUCGGUUGGUUAGAAGACUCACUGUCUAGCUAUAGUUCGGCUUAGGCAAAACCCUCUCCUGUCAAAGCACAUGAAUGCUGGUAUCCAGGCAGAAUCUCUCCACAUUUUCCAAAUGUUCUCUUUUUGGGCAGCCUAAGACCAAGCUUUUCCUAGUCUGCAGGACUUUAGAGUGUUGUUUGUGCUGUACUUUUGUACUGUUUUAUUGUUGUUAGCCACCCUGAGCCCGGCUUCAGCUGGGGAGGGCGGGAUAUAAAUAAAUUUAUUAUUAUUAUUAUUAUUAUUAUUAUUAUUAUUAUUAUUUAAACUGCAAGGAGAGGGGCAAUUUCUUGAAUGCUCCCUUGUGAAACGAGCUCCUUGUGUGUCAGGCUUCUGUAUGCCAAAGAGAAAGGCUCAGCUUGGCUGUCACUCUGACAUGUUAUUACUUUACCAGAGAAUUCUGGGAAGUGUAGUUUAUUAAGGAUGCUGACCCCACAGACCUACAAUUCCCAGCACUUUUAACAAACUACACUUCCCAGAAUUCUUUGGGGGAAGUCAUGACCCUUAAAGUGGUAUAAGGGUGAUUUAAAUGUGUUGCAUGGAUAUGGCCUUAGACGUGGAGGUAGUAAUGGGGUUUGAAGCAGUAAUAUUUCUGAGUAUCAGCCGCUAGAAGCCACAGAAGGGGAGAUUGCUCUUGUACGUGGUCCUCUUGAGCAGUUCUGGCAGGCAUCCAGGUGGCAUCUGUGAGAACAAGAUGCUAGACUUAGAUGGGCCAUUGCCGUGAAACAGCAGGCUCUUCUGCUUUUCUUACGUUCUUAAGUUACUUUGGCAAUUAAGUGGUGUACAAGUGAAAAUAAGAUGCAGAGAUGACCACUGACAAUAAAAGUUGCAGAGCGUGCUGGCUGCAGUCUCCUGCAAUCUUGUGGGCUUUCCUAUUCUCAUUGCUGCAGCACAGAUAAUUCCCACCACUACAACCAGCAUUUUAAGAUGGGCUGUGAAGUGUAGGUGGGUUCGGGCAAGACCCAAGGCUGAGAUUCAGCUCAAAAAGGAUUUAUUGGAACAUCAGGAACAAGAAUGACAAACAGGGACACUUGGCCCAGUAUAUAUAUACCUUAUAUAUAUACCUUGGAAUCAGCCUGAUCCCCUCCCCCUCUUUCCUUUUUCUUCUGUGAUGGAACCCCUACUUGGGGACUUCCCUGGCUUUUUUCUGGCCCACAUAGGACCAGUCUGGAUAGUUGGCCUUGGUGAAGAUUUGACAUUUUCUCCCCUCAAACAGUUUUUGAUCUGGGCUUCCACUGAAAUGAGGCUGCAUUUUAAGUUGUAUUUUAAUCCUGUAUUUAAGUUAUAUUUUAAUCAAUUAUUUUUAUACCUGAUAUUAGCCGCCCUGAGCCCAGUCUUAGCUGGGGAUGGUGGGGUAUAAAUAAAGUUAUUAUUAUUAUUAUUAUUAUUAUUAUUAUUAUUAUUAUUACACUGGUCAACAACAAAUUUGUUGUCUGCAUUUUUUCAGUUGAUUUAGGACGAAUCUGAUGCACUGAAUCCAAAUAUCACAUUGGUUUUGCUCAAUCAGGUCAAGUUUUUGAGCUAUGGCCACAUGUCGUUUUUUUACGUUUUUGUUCACGUGUACUCUUGUGUGGAGCAUUUUAGAAGAAGUUGGUGAGGGUAAAAUGCCAUGUUGAAUAAUUGUUUUGAUUGGAAAUGAUUAUUUUAAUGACAAGAAGUAUUCAGGUCCGAUAGUUCUGGGUUACUGUGUCGAAAAGGGAUCAGUUUGAAGUGAUAAAACCUCGAAAUUUUCCAUAAAUUGGUGCAGCUGGGAUCAACAGAAAGAACUGGAGCAGCCUCAAAUAUCCUGAUCUUCAAUCAACACGUCGUCCUGUAGCUCAUUGUGAUGAAAUUCCAGUGCCUAUCUUCGGAGAACUUCCUGACAUUAUUGACGAAGAUGCCUCCAGUGUUGAAGGACAUGAAGAAGAAGUGGUUCUUGAAGAUGAUGCUCCACAUCCAUUAUCCCAAAAGGAAUUGAAUGAUCUAGUUCGCGACCUCAGCUUGUCAAAGGACUCUGCCGAACUGUUGGCAUCCAGAUUGAAGGAAAAAAACCUCCUCUCUGGCAGUGCUCGCAUCAGCUUCUUCCGCAACAGGCAUCAAGAGUACCUCCGUUUUUUCUCGGAAGAGAAGGACUUGGUGUACUGUGCAGAUAUUGCGCAGCUUCUGCUCAAGCUUGGAGUGCCACAGUAUGAACCCAAAGAUUGGAGACUGUUCAUUGACAGCAGCAAGCGAUCACUGAAAUGUGUUCUGCUACACAACGGCAACCAGUUUGCCUCUAUACCCCUGGCUCACUCAAGUACACUGAAGGAGAACUAUGAAGCGGUGAAGUAUGUGCUGGAGAAAAUUGGUUAUGAUCAGCAUAAGUGGUUUAUUUGUGUUGCCCUGAAGAUGGCGAACUUUUUGUUGGGACAACAGUCUGGCUUCACCAAGUACCCAUGUUUUCUGUGCAUGCGGGAUAGUAGGGACCGUGCUCAGCAUUACAUGAAGAACGACUGGACUGUGCGGGAGGAAUUGGUGCCUUGCAAAGAAAGGAACGUCAUCAACAACUCUCUGGUGGACAGAGACAGAAUACUCUUCCCACCGCUGCACAUCAAGCUCGGCUUAAUCAAGCAGUUCACCAAGGCUCUGGACAAGGAUGGUGACUGCUUCACUUACUUGUGCCAGGCUUUUCCAGGAUUGACCAUGGAGAAGUUGAAAGCUGGCAUCUUUGACGGUCCUCAGAUCCGUCAGCUCAUCAGAGAUCCAGAGUUCGGAAACUCAAUGAAUGAAGUGGAACUGGAAGCGUGGAAGGCAUUUGUUCUGGUAGUGAAGGACUUUCUUGGCAACAAUAAGGCCAGAAACUACGCAGAACUUGUCAACAACAUACCGACUGCUUUCAGAAACCUGGGCUGCAACAUGAGCGUCAAGAUGCACUACCUAUUUUCACAUAUGGACCGGUUUCCUGAGAAAUGAGUGACGAGCAGGCAGAGAGAUCCCAUCAGGACAUGAAAGAGAUGGAGACCAGGUAUCAGGGUCGCUGGGACACAGUCCUGAUGGCUGACUACUCUUGGACUCUGAAGAGAGACCUCCAUGCCGCUGAGCAUUCCAGGAGUUCCAAGAAAUGGAAGUUCAAGCCCUGAAGUUUGAAAAAUGGUGAAGCAACAUACAAUUUACAUGUACUUACCUUUAUCAAUGCCCACCAUUCAGUUUACAGUAAACCUGACCUGAUGGAGAGAAACGGAUGCCAUUUCCUGAUUCAGCAGUGCAAAAAUACCCUAAAUCAGUUGUAGAAAUCUAGACAACAUUCAAAAAGUAAAAAAUUGUUGCCCAGUGUUAUUAUUAAGCCGGCCCAGGCAAAAACACACACACUGCCUGUGAUAGGUCACCUUAAUGCUGCAAUUAGCGAAUCACAACACUGGCCCUAUCUCAGCAGGGAUUGGCAGCCUGCCAGCUACUAACAAUGUAAUUGGAGGGUUUUAGAAUCCUCUCUGACUUGCAGAUGAAGCUCCUGAGCUUCAGGAGGCCUGAAGGCCUAGGUCUGCAUAGCAUGUAUAUCGUCUGGCUUCAGCCUGCAAUGCAUGCAUGCAUAACAGGCUGCUCUUCUGCCUAAGACACUAAAGAGUGGUUCUAUUUACAAAGAUUAAGAUAGCUGCAAUUUCCUUUGUGCUGCAGACUGCAAAUCAAAUGAAGGAGAAGAGAUUCUUUUGGGAUCGGCAAUCCUAUGAAUAUGCCUAUUGGCCUUCUGUAUAAGGAGAAGUUGUUGGUAUUGCAGGCUUGGACGGAGGCAAGACCUUUCAGCCAUCAAAAUCUAAAUCCUACCAAUUUGAAUUUUAUAGCUAUGCACACAGAUUUGCAUGGCCUAUUUUUGUACAAAAUUGUUUUCUCUUUUUCUGGAGUGGGGGGUUCAGUUUCCUGUUUUUUUAGUGAACAGUAAGGAACCUUGUUUUUGUUGAAUGUAUAGAAACCAAAGCAAAGACCUAUUGCAUCAAAGCACUUUAAUCAGCAUCCGAUUCUCAGCAGUGGCCCAUCUAGAUCAGGCAUAGGCAAACUCGGCCAUCCAGGUGUUUUGGGACUACAACUCCCAUCAUCCCUGACCACUGGUCCUGUUAGCUAGGGAUGCUGGGAGCUGUAGUCCCAAAACAUCUGGAAUGCUGAGUGGGAAGCCUUCAAGCAGGGACCACAUGCAGUGUAUCCCAGCAUACUGCCUCUGACUGUGGAGGUAAAACAGCAAACUAGGUUUUAUUGAAGUCAACUUGCCAUGCAUCAGGGUUUGAAUCUUCUUUGGACUGGUAGGGCUGAAGGGCCUCAGAAAUAGAAAUUCUGGCAUGCAGUUAUCAAAGCAAUUGUUACAAGACAGGCAAGGCCAUAGCAGGCAGACAAACAAAGAAUGAGUAAAUUAAGAAGUAUUAACCUUCAAAAGGAGAAACAUGGAAUGUUAGAGCCUGAUUGGAUAAGAAUGUAAAAUCUCACUCUCUGGGGUGGUUUUUUGUUGUUGUUUUUUUGUAUAGUCUAUAAAAAGUGGGCGCACCCUGAUAGGGGUGUGCAGAUUGCGAACUUAUUGCUUCUCCUUUGCUAUGCAUAUGCAUUUCAAAUAAACCCUGUUGUAUCCUGCAAGGUCGUUUGCCACUUUGUGUGAAUCUGUGCUCCGGAGACCCAAUAGCAGAUAUGGAACAGGUCCAACAGGGCCAUUUCAGUGGAAGCUGGUGAAUUCCUUCUCAUCCAACAUGCCCCCCAAGUCAAAGAAGAAUGGACUUAAAGGGGGCAUAGAUUGCUUGCUACACCCUGAGCUACCUGUCACAGCUGCCAAGUUUUAAUCAGACCUUUCCUCCUCCCUCGCUAGCUCUACGCUGCACACAUAGCAUUGACUUUCUGGUUUUUCUUUGACAGAAUCAAUUUGUCUUUAACGCUUGCACGACAGAAAUUAAACAGGUGCAACUUUCUGCACUGUGUUUCCCGGACAGGAAAUUCUGCAUGAAAUACAUUUCUGUGCAUCAUGAAGUCACUAAUGGCACAGAGCCUAUGUCUCGAGUUGGGGGAAGUGAAGUAGCAACUAUUCUAUCUCUCGGGGAAUUUACACUGCUUCACGGCUUGCUCUGCAGGAGGCAUCCGACUCUUGUCAGACCUCGCAGAGCAGUUCACAGGAAGUCAGAUACAGAAUCUGAAAGAUGCUGUGUAUUGUUAAGGUGAUCACCAAACAAUGCAUUCAUGGGUCUGUACCUAGAUCAGGAUGCUUCCUCGUGCUCUAGUCAGGUGGGGCUUCAUCCACCCGAUAUAUGAUAUGACUCACAUCUUCUUGUAUGACUCAUAGCUGUGAGUUUUAUUCCAGUCUUCAUUGAUCCCUGGGUUUAUUCCAGAGAACUUUAAUAAGUGACCCCAUACACAAAGCCCUGAGCAAUAAAUAAAAAAAAUGUUCUGAAUAUUCCAAGCUCUGCUUUUUUAUGAUUAGUGUUAUUAAAAAACAUGAUUUUGGAACUGACAAGCCAGUUUUGCCAGCCACCUUCGUUGCUAGAGAUAUUAAUAGUGUUAAGAAAGUGAUGUUCUCCAGGAAGAGAUCAUGAGAGAAACAAUGAUCUUCCCUAUUGAAGGAAUGACUUUUGUACGCCCAUGGGUGAGUCACAAUGACGGACAUACAUUAUAAAAUUAAUAUUGUGUAUUUUAAUUGCAAUUUAAAUGUAGAAAGAAUCUAGUUGCCGUGGUUGUGUCUUUUACUAGAUCUAAGAGGUGGAUAUGAACUUUUCCUGUGGAAUCAUCUGAUGGUUCCUCCUUCACGUCAUGCUCCCAGACAGUCAGUGACACAUGAUUAGCAUGAUGACAUUAUGUAACUAUGAUGUACAUGGGAGACACUAUGGGGAGAUGCACUGUCACUCCCUUGAACUUUAUUUUGUUUUGUUGCUGAAGCCACUUCAAUGUUAUGUUUAAGAAUACACUCCUCCCUCUACAUGGGAAGGGCUGCAUCUCAGGGGCAGAACAUCUGCUUGGCAUUCAGAAGGUCCCAGCUUCAAUCCUCGGCAUCUCCAGGUACGGCUGGGAGAAAACCCUGUCUGAAACCCAGGAGACCUGCUGCCAGUCAGUUUAGACAACACUCAGCUGGAGAGACCAAUGAGUCUGACUCAGUAUAGAACAGCUUCCUACUCCACAGGUCACUGUCAUCUGGGCUUAACCCCAUGAUUUCCAUAAACCUUGCCUUCUAAGUGAACAAAGGACGCAGGUGGCACUGUGGUCUAAACCACUGAGGCCCUCAGGCUUGCCAAUCAGAAGGUCAGCAGUUCAAAUCCCCACGACGGGGUGAGCUCCCAUUGCUCGGUCCCUGCUCCUGCCAACCUAGCAAUUCAAAAGCACGUCAAAGUGCAAGUAGAUAAAUGACUGGACCUAACGGUCAGGGGUCCCUUUACCUUUAAGUUGACUACACAGCUAAUAUAAUACCUAGUUGAGCAGUGCAAGUCAACAUCUCCUUUCAGAAUUUAAGGUGAGAGAAAGCUCAUCUUAAAUAGCCUAAAAUUUGAAUUUUGGGGUUGGAUGGAUGAAGGGAUGAAAUUCAUUUUAAAAAGCAUACACCCAAAUGAAAUAUGUAUUCAAAUACACAAUUGGACGUGAAGUUUUCUGUGAAUGUUAAAAAUAAAAUAAAAUAAAAAUGCAUUUUACAAAUGCAGAAACAGGACAGAAUGGAUUUGCUUAUUUAUUUGUUUAGAAUAUUUUCAGUCCACCCUUCAUUGUAGUACAAUGUCAUUGGAAUAUAUUCUAUUGUCUUUGGAAGCAAUACAAUCUUAAGAGCAGGUUGAAACCUCAGAAGGUAUUUCUAAGAUAAAGAAAACAUUGUUGAACAUGCAUAAUGCUGGUGAUUCUAAAGUCAUCAUGCAAAGCCAUGAAAUUAUAUAUUUGGAAUAGGGCAAUUAUGAAAGCAGUCCUUGAUACUGAAAAUCUGUGUUAACAUCAACAUAUUAAUUUUGAGUACACACAAGGUACUUGAAAAAAGCGACAGCUUGUAAUUUCUUUAAUAAAUACAGAGCCACGUUCAAUUCCACUCAUUACAAUUGUUUGCUAUGGCUAAUCCAUGCAAAGCAAUGGGUCAAGUUUACACUCAUGGAUCUCUUAUGAAUGAAUGAAUGAGAACUAAGUCGGGAAAUAAAGCUUGAAGCAAGUUCUGCACCAGGCAGGAAACGCUGGAAUUGCAAGAUGGUUCCGUGGGAAAGAAAUUCACAUUAUACUUCAAGCAAGAGACCAGCCAGUCUCUACCUUGUGAAUUAACCAACUUCGUGUAGAAAGAUUCCAGGCAGGGACAAACCAAGCCUGAAUGCAGCGAGAAGCCAUAUAAUAUUAUUAGCUUUCUUAUUUUGACAAUGGCUUAGUUCAACCAUGUGAAGCAAUGAUGUCUGACCAUGCUGACAGGUGCUGUGAUUCAUGUAAAAACUGUGGGUUAAACAAAAAAAAAUUGGGCCAGCACAUUGAUGCACUAGAAUGGCUGCUCAGUAGAUUUCAGCACUUCAUUUCCCUCCUCUCUGCUUCACCGGUAUAUUACUCAAAGCUGGUUCCCCACCACCACCUUGGACAAAGGGACUGUUGUCUAGAUGUCAAGCAUUUUAUGAGAAGCAUGAAUGCCAGUGACUAAGAUCCAGCGCUGCCUCCAAAUUCAUGGAUGCUCAAAGAAAGUGCCGUCCAUGGGUCACCAACCACCACUGGUAUGGGCCCCUCACCUACUGGGCUUACUGGCAGCAGCACCGCAAUAUUCAGCAGCAGUGCUCCUGAGGGUAGCAUCUAUUUGCCAGUCAGCAUUUUGACAUUCCCACAAUGCCUCAGCAUAAUGACAUUGUGGGGGGAGUCAAAAUGGCACCUUUCUAACCACUCACCAGUGCCUCUCAGGAAACCAGGUUAAGAGACACAAAUGCCAGCUCCAUUUUGAAUGUCAGGUCCAUCUAGCUCAGCAUUGUCUACACUGACUUCCUCAGACCUACCUGAAAAUGCCAGGGGCCAGCCCUGGACCUUUGCCUGCAAUGCACAACAUCUACUGCUGUGUUUUGUUGUUGUUUAGUCAUUUAGUCGUGUCCGACUCUUCAUGACCCACAUGGGCCAGAGCACGCCAGGCACUCCUGUCUUCCACUGCCUCCCACAGCUUGGUCAAACUCAUGUUCGUAGCUUCGAGAACACUGUCCAACCAUCUCGUCCUCUGUCGUCCCCUUCUCUUUCCCAACAUCAAGGUCAUUUCCAGGGAGUCUUCUCUUCUCAUGAGAUAGCCAAAGUAUUGAAGCCUCAGCUUCAGGAUCUGUCCUUCCAGUGAGCACUUAGGGCUGAUUUCAUUCAGAAUUGAUAGGUUUGAUCUUCUUGCAGUCCAUGGGACUCUCAAGAGUCUCCUCCAGCACCAUAAUUCAAAAGCAUCAAUUCUUCGGUGAUCAGCCUUCUUUAUGGUCCAGUUCUCACUUCCAUACAUCGCUACUGGGAAAACCAUAGCUUUAACUAUAUGGACCUUUGUUGGCAAGGGGAUGUCUCUGCUUUUUAAGAUGCUGUCUAGGUUUGUCAUUGCUUUUAUCCCAAGAAGCAGGCAUCUUUUAAUUUCAUGACUUCUGUCACUAUUUGCAGUGAUCAUGGAACCCAAGAAAGUAAAAUCUCUCACUGCCUCCAUUUCUUCUCCUUCUAUUUGCCAGGAGGUGAUGGGCCCAGUGGCCAUGAUCUUCGUUUUUUUGAUGUUGAGCUUCAGACCAUAUUUUGCGCUCUCCUCUUUCACCCUCAUUAAAGGGUUCUUUAAUUCCUCCUCACUUUCUGCCAUCAAGGUUGUGUCAUCUGCAUAUUUGAGGUUGUUGAUAUUUCUUCCGGCAAUCUUAAUUCCGGCUUGGAUUCAUCCAGCCCAGCCUUUCGCAUGAUGAAUUCUGCAUAUAAGUUAAAUAAGCAGGGAGACAAUAUACAGCCUUGUCGUACUUCUUUUCCAAUUUUGAACCAAUCAGUUGUUCCAUGUCCAGUUCUAACUACUGUAUAUACAUAGGUGUGGAAUGGGAGGAAACCAAAUGAACAAGGUGAGAAAACCAAAGUGGUUGCAAAGGCAUCCUGAUAACAGAAGGUGUGCUUUCAUUUUCUAUAUCAUUUGGAAACUAGGGAUGCUAAACAUCUGCUUGCCUCUCAGGCUUUGUUUCUGUUGGAGACUUUUAUUAAUUAGUAAAUGUUUGCAAUGUUCUUGGGAGGUGUUAACUAUUAUUCAAAGUAAUUUACAGGUGCAAUCUGGUGUUUGCUAAAAAGAACUUGCUUGCUGCACAGGCAGGGCUUUGUUUACUAAUAGCUAUCUUCCUGAUUCUUUUACAGCUGAUAAAUGAGGCAAGGGGAAGGAAUAGUCUAAAGAUUUUUGGCAGGUUGUUGUUUUCCUUAAAAUGAAACCCACUCAUUAGCCCAUCACAAGCUGAGAAAUAACUCAGAUUAAUUAGGACCAAAGCUGAUCUUGUUAGAAAGUGUGUUUUGAGCAUGUGCAACUGGGAUUGCUUGACUUAGAGAGAAGUGUUCAUGUGGUUGUUUCAGUUACUGCAUGGUUCAACUUGGCUCAGAUCUGGCUUAGUUCAAGGGAGCCUCCAGCAUGAAACUAAUUGACUGCCAUUUGUCAAGAAAGUUACAUGAGGCACUUCAGUCUGCACAGGGACAAUGGUUUCUUUCCCUACUACAGAUGUUAAUGACAGCAAUCAACUUGUGAAUGGUAACAUUUUUGAAUUAAGGUGGUGCCUUGACUCAUUUUUCCUUCCUACCUGAAGAUUUUUAGCAAAAUGCUUGGCAAAAGAAGAUACACUCAGUCUCCUUUUCAGCUGCAUCCAAUGGGACAUGUCUCACAGCUUACACAAGACAUAAAAAAUGAACUUUAGAUGCUUGGGAUUUGCUUUGGAUUCUCAAUCUGUGGCUAGAUUGGGCUCAUGUGAGCCCAAUAGAGCAGCUAACCCCCCCACCCCCAAGAAGGGAUAGGCAAGAGUUGGAGAAACAGGGUGACACCAAUGCCGUAAGAGGACUUGUUGCUCAAAUUUGCCUAUGAUGGAGAAUCUCUAAACUUACCAAAAGCAUGGCACAAAUCACAGCAGCAGCUAAUGAAGCUGUGGACCUCAUCUUAAAAGAAAAAACCUCUGUAAAAAUGCUAAAGUAUUCCCAAGCCGAAUUUAAACUGCAUCUUGAAGACAUGCAGAACCAUCAUCAUGAUCUGAACAUAUGUGCAUGAAGGAUCCCUGAGCACUGAAAGAUAUUGAAUACAGUGGUAUCUCGGAUUACAAACACCUCGGGUUACAAACACUUCAGGUCACAAACUCCACUAACGCGGAAGUAGUACCUUGGGUUGAGACCUUUACCUCAGGAUGAGAAUGGAAAUCGGGGCCACUGCCAAGAAGGCCCUCUGCCUGGUUUCCUGUAAGUUCCCUUCUCUCAGUGAGGGAACCACUAGCAGACCCUUGGAGGAGGACCUCAGUCAUGCUAAACAUAUGACUUUCCAUGCUCCUAAAGGGGCAGAAGGGGUGAGUUUGAUGUCAUUCUCUGGAAUUGUUUUCUACUUGUUUGUAACCAGUGUGUUUCAACAUGGCACCCUUGUUUAAGGUGGCCAUCAGUAGGUGUUAGAGAUAUUAGUUCUUUGGUGGAAGUUUAGUUUGGACAAGGGAGAGGGAGGGAGGGAGAAUGUUGGGGUGUUCAGAGCACAUAUUCUUAGCAAUUAUUUCACAAAAGGGAGAGUGCUAUAUAUAUAAGUAAAUUCUGUACUACAAGAGAUUUCAAUCUGGAGGUAAAAUUCUAAUUGUAAUUCCAAUUGAGCAUUGGCAUUAAAGCCCAAUAAUUUCAAAAUAUACAUGGGUGGUAUACAAAUUUAAUAAAUUUGGUAUACAAAUUUAAUAAAUUUGGUAUACAAAUUUAAUAAAUAACAACAAUAAAAAAUCUAAUAAUAAAAAGAAGCAUGGAGUCCCUGGUGUAAUUUAUGGGUGAAACCUUCAUAUUGUGUCAAGUGGUUUUCUUUUGUGUGACUGGAAGUGACAUUCUGUAUCCUUCCCAGUACACUGCAUGGAGGAGUUGUUUGGUUGCAACUUGCCAUUGUUUCCGUGCCUAAUGUAUUAAUAGUUUGUUUUAAAAGAGGAUGUGUGUGACUAAUCCAUUAAGGGCAGCAGUGCACUGUGGAAUUAGAGUAUAUUAGCACAAGGGAAGGACAAGGACAAUUAAAUGAGUGUGUCACAGAGUAUGGUCCACGUGUGCCAGCAGUAUAGUAGAAGCUUGUUAAAAAUAGAGAGAGUCUCAUAGCAUAAUUCAGAGACAGAAUGAAGAAAUGCAUACUUCAUGGAGUUUGUUAUCAGAUGUCCCCUACUGCUGUGUUUUCAAACCCUGGUAAAUAAUUUAAGGUAAAAAGAUAAAGAAUUCUUGGAUGGUUAAGUGCAGUCAAGGGUAACUAUGGGGUUGCGGCACUCAUCUCGCUUUCAGGCCGAGGGAGCCGGCAUUUGUCCACAGACAGCUUUCCAGGUCAUGUGGCCAGCAUGACUAAGCUGCUUCUGGUGAACCAGAGCAACGCACGGAAACACUGUUUACCUUCCCGCCAGAGCGGUACCUAUUUAUCUACUUGCAUUGGUAUGCUUUUGAACUGCUAGGUUGGCAGGAGCUGGGGCAGAGCGACGGGAGCUCAUCCCGUCGCGGGGAUUCAAACUGCUGACCUUCUGACCAGCAAGCCCAAGAGGCUCAGAGGUUUAGAGCACACACCACCCAUGUUAUUCAUCAAAAAUAUUUUAAAAAUAAAUAAAUCAAGUAGCACCUUAGAGACCAACUAAAUUUGUUCUUGGUAUAAGCUUUCGUGUGCAUGCACACUUCUUCAGAUACCAAUUUCUCAAAAUUGUUAUUAUUUAUAAAAAUUGAGUAGGCUUAAGUCUGCUUGAUUUCACUGGAAGAAAGUUAAAGGACAUGAAAUCAAUGAGAUUUAAAAGUGGCAAUGAAAUCAAUGAGAUUUAAAAGUGGCAAUGAAAUCAAUGAGAUUUAAAAGUGGCUGGAUGCCAACUUUGGUGGGGGGGGGAUGAUAUCACAUGCUUAACAGGUAUCCAGCCCCUCCCACAUGCUAGAUUUGGCCCAAGCAGAUUCUGAUAGGGAUCUGGCCUCUGGCGCCUCAAAGCUUCCCCACCCAUGGUGUAGUGUUUCCAAAAGAGUGCAUUAGGUAAGCUCACCAUUAAAAGCAAAUAGAGCUGAAUUCCGUCCCCAUCUCUAUGUACUAGGGACAUAAUUUCACUUUAUUUUCCUAAUCUAGGCAUUUUUGCAAGCACCUUCCCAUAAAAAAAUGCAGUUUUGUACAUACAGACUUUGCAAGAUAACCUUUCUUAGGUUUAACAUUUUCAGCCUUAAAUAUCUGCCACACUCAGGGUAAUGACUCCCAAUGUUUACACUGCCUUAUUGCUGUAAAUUUUAUAUGCUGACAAGCAGACCGUCCUCUUGGGAGUACCCUAAGUACAAAAUUAAAUUUAAUCACCUAAGUUUUUUUAUUAUCAAUUUACAUGAUUUGCUGUUGCUGUUGCUACAUAGCUUGAAAUAAUUAUACACACCCAUCUCUUUUGUCUUUGCUGAACUAUUUCAUCUCCCCAACCUGUCGUUCAGCUUCUGAUUACUUUCAUAUUGUUUUCCGCCUCAGACCAAGAUUACUAUUAUAACACAAAUUUAGAUGUAUCACCCUUUUUUAGCAAAGGAAGAAGCCUAAUAAGAGUCCUUCGUUUUCCUAUUUCUUAAAGAGCUGUUAUUCUUUAGCCAUUACUUCAUAUUAAUUCCAACUUUCUGUUGAAUAAGAAUGUAAGAGGAGCCUUCUGGAUCAGGCCCAUCUAGGUCAGUAUCCUGUUCUCACAGCUGCCAACAGCUAUUUGAAGCCUGCAGGCAGGACGUGGGUGCAAUGACAGUCUCCGCUCCUGUGGCUUCCAAGAACUGGCAUUCAGAAGCAUUACUUACUGCCUUCAGCUAUGGAGGUGACUCAGGUAAGUGUCAAAUAGUAUAUACUUUUCAUAGAAUCAUAGAAUCAUAGAGUUGGAAGAGACCACAAGGGCCAUCGAGUCCAACCCCCUGCCAAGCAGGAAACACCAUCAGAGCACUCCUGACAUAUGGUUGUCAAGCCUCUGCUUAAAGACCUCCAAAGAAGGAGACUCCACCACACUCCUUGGCAGCAAAUUCCACUGUCGAACAGCUCUUACUGUCAGGAAGUUUUGUAGAUUGUCCCACUCAUGAUUAUGGUGGUCGUCAGGUGUAUGAUCUUGCUAGAUUUGUCAUUGUCAGCAAUAUCAAAAGCAAUACGAUGGCCAGAAACAAUUGCAGUGGUACCUCGGGUUAAGAACUUAAUUCGUUCCGGAGGUCCAUUCUGAACCUGAAACUGUUCUUAACCUGAAGCACCGCUUUAGCUAAUGGGGUCUCCUGCUGCCGCCGUGCCGCCACUGCACGAUUUCUAUUCUCAUCCUGAAGCAAAGUUCUUAACCCGAGGUACUAUUUCUGGGUUAGCGGAGUCUGUAACCUGAAGUGUAUGUAACCUGAAGCGUAUGUAACCCGAGGUACCACUGUACAAUGUGAAAAUCUUUAUGGACUAAUUCAAAACAUCAAAACUAACAAACUGAAGUCUCUGAAAGUCCUUAAAUGAAUCACAGUGCCAGACUUUACCCAGCGAAGAGCAAGCUGUGAAGCUUUGUAUAAUCAGCAAAUGUCCGAAUCUGAUGUCCAACUCUGAACUCUGCUGAACAGUGUUUCCGGAUAACAACUACUGUUUUGUUGAAUUCUUCAUCAGCCAAUUAGUUCAACACUCGUGAGUAGAAAGAUACGUAAUUUCUUCAUUAACCAAACUUUUUUCUAAUAGAUAUAAUAUACAUGAGAAUGAAAAAUACUCUGGAACAGUGCUCAUGCGAUUCCAUGCACUAAAUGCCAGGCCAGGGAUUUUGGAGGACUCUGGUAGAAACAGGAGUAGAAAUUCCUGAUAUUUGUCCUAAGUCUGGAACAGAAAACAAUCCUGCAAAUACAUCAAUAUUUGCUGCUGCUGUUGCUUGCAGUCUGCAAAAAAAUGCAUAAUGGAUUACAUUUGUUGCCCGUUAGCAUUGUGUUUCCUUUGCACUGGAAUGAAUGGGAGUGGGGUAAAGUAAUGGCAGUGCAAUUUACAUAAUCAGUUGCAGAAAUUAUGUAGGUGACAUAAUUUUGCAACAGUGGACAGUGAGAUGAAUAAUGCCGUUUUCAGAGGAGGGUAAACUACAGCGGAAAUGGAACAGUGCUGCUUGCAACAAAUGUAGGGCAGAGCGAAAAACUACGCCAUUUAAUAUCCCCAGCCCGAUCUCACAUUUCAUAUAGCCAUUGGUAUCAUAACUAAACACAAGGAGAGGCUUUCACUCUCAAAUAAUAGUAAGACACACUUAACUACAGCAAAUAUUACACAUGCCCAAAGAUGUGUUAUUUGGUGCAGGCCAUAUCUUUAGCACAGAAGCUCGUUGCAAUUUCUAUUCCUUCAAAUGUAUUUGUUAUCAUGCACCCAUGUGCCUAUCUUAAAUUAGGCUGCCAUGGAGAUGAAGAGAGCUAUUCAUAUGCCUUCUCAGUUUAAUUUCCCCUUUCUCCUAAUUUUUGCAAUACUUUCUUUGGUAGUCCUCAAAGACUGAAAUCCAAUACAAACAAAAAUGCUUUUAGAGAGAUUAUUCAACCUAUAAUGUCAAAUUCAAUAAACUCAGGCAACACAUUAUUUAUAAGAGGAGAGAAGGAAAUGAUGCCCCAAAUUUCAAGUAUUUUCAGAGAUGCUCCGAGUUGAAAAUUAAGGAUGCAUUAUUGAAGCACUGAGAAACCAAAUUGUUAUUCAGAAAAUGGAACUAACAUAAUGAUUUUUCCAUCUGGCAUAUUUAUUCUGAAUCCAAUGGUCAUUAAUAAAUCUAAACCCAGGGGAACUGAAGGCACAUUUGGGGGUAAACGCCUACCGUUAUUUGUUGAGAGAAGCUAAAAUUGAGAUCUUCAGAAAAAUAUAGUUAAUUACAAAUCAUGCUGCCUUCUUCAAUGCCCAAUUGAGCUGUAUAAAUUAGUGUAUGUGAAGCAAAAAUACAAAUAUUAGCUAAGGUAGGCUACACAUACCAUGUACUCUGGCCUGUCUACAUCUGCUGCAGAGUUUGUGGUUUGUUUUUUUACAGAAAUGAUAUUGCAUUCCUAUAUAUUGGCACCUGAGGAUGGGAAGGAUUCAGUCCUGUAAUUGUUUUGGUGGAAAGCUGAAUGGAGUCAUUUCACUCUUCCAGAAAUGCAUUCUACCACUCUGAGCAUACACAGAGGCCUCAGAUAAAGGAGCGAAGGAUAUUGUGAGAAUAGGAUGCUAGAUUAAAAUAGUCAUUGGACCAGUUGGAUCUUCUUAUGUUCUUAAGACUCCCAAGAACUCUGCAUUAUCUUGUGUCAGGGACUGGCUGGAUGAGGAAGAGUGGUGGAAGCCACGCACCCAAGAGCCGCCCAAGGGAAGACACAGAAGAAGAUGACUUAGAUCCAGGAGCCUGGUGGUGGGACACUGGCCACACCUCAGAAGUGGGGAUGAGCUGGGAGAUACUAGAAGCAGAGAGCCUGAGGGAUAGUGAAGAGGCAGAAACAGGCAAGUAACCCAGCACAGGCCAGGGUUAUGAGGUUUGCUGUUUGGAUGCAGGCACCGACAGCGACGGCAGACGGGAGCCAGACCCUGCAAUUCUCCCAUGGAUCUCCUGCUCCACUUAUUCCUAGAAUGUGACAAAUGUUACAUAUUGCCAAGCAACUAGCUAGGUAGGUACAGAGGGAGGCUCCUGGGGUUUGCCGUAGCAGAGGAUCAUAGAGGGAGAGGCCCUGACUCAGAGGGUUAGAGAGCAAAUGAGGGGUUGUACAACAGUUCGAACAACUGCUUCAUAAAAGGGCUUGCCUUUACGAACG
rnacentral:lncRNA from 1 species